UACAGAGGUGCCAAGCGUUAGGCGGAAUCACUGGGCUUAAAGCGCGCGUAGGCGGGUUUUUAAGUCAGGGGUGAAAUCCUGGAGCUCAACUCCAGAACUGCCUUUGAUACUGAAGAUCUUGAGUCCGGGAGAGGUGAGUGGAACUGCGAGUGUAGAGGUGAAAUUCGUAGAUAUUCGCAAGAACACCAGUGGCGAAGGCGGCUCACUGGCCCGGUACUGACGCUGAGGCACGAAAGCGUGGGGAGCAAACAGG
rnacentral:rRNA from 1 species